UACGAGGGGGGGCAAGCGUUGUUCGGAAUUUAUUGGGGCGUAAAGGGCGCGUAGGCGGUUUGACAAGUCUGAUGUGAAAUCUCUGGGCUCAACCCAGAGUCUGCAUUAGAAACUGUCGGGCUUGAGUAUGGGAGAGGUGAGUGGAAUUUCCGGUGUAGCGGUGAAAUGCGUAGAUAUCGGAAGGAACACCUGUGGCGAAAGCGGCUCACUGGACCAUAACUGACGCUGAGGCGCGAAAGCUAGGGGAGCAAACAGGG
rnacentral:rRNA from 1 species